GUCCACUCCACGCAUCGACCUGGU
rnacentral:piRNA from 2 species